rnacentral:rRNA from 1 species
GACGAACGCUGGCGGCGUGCUUAACACAUGCAAGUCGAGCGGUAAGGCCCUUUCGGGGGUACGACGAGCGGCGAACGGGUGAGUAACACGUGGGUGACCUGCCCUCAGCUCUGGGAUAAGCCUGGGAAACUGGGUCUAAUACUGGAUAUGACUCCACGGUGCAUGUCGUGGGGUGGAAAGCCUUGUGCGGCUGAGGAUGGGCCCGCGGCCUAUCAGCUUGUUGGUGGGGUGAUGGCCUACCAAGGCGACGACGGGUAGCCGGCCUGAGAGGGCGACCGGCCACACUGGGACUGAGACACGGCCCAGACUCCUACGGGAGGCAGCAGUGGGGAAUCUUGCGCAAUGGGCGAAAGCCUGACGCAGCGACGCCGCGUGAGGGAUGACGGCCU